rnacentral:lncRNA from 1 species
UAUCAAUCGCAUUUAUUGUAACAAUAGCAUUUUCCAUUUUUGCAUCCACCACCCAAUAAAAGUUUAUUUGCUGCUUUGCACAUAUGGUAACAAGAAACACUGUGAUAUUCAUCAAUGCAUGCAUCUGUAUAUAGAAUUGUUCUUAUCGCACAUGCCGCCUCAAUCUGCACCACUGCUUCUUCUGCAAUUUUCAAAUGAAACAAAAUAUAUAUUUUUUAAUUUAACCGGUAUAUUUAAACUUUGUAAUAAAAUUCUUAUCUAUAUUUUAUUGUUACACACAUUAUUGAAUAGGAAAUUAUUUUUAAAAUCUGGUGAUUUAUGAUUCAUUGACGGUAUAAGUUAUAAAUCUUUAUAUUCACAUUCUUGAAUGUUUAUUUUCAACCUAAACUUAAUUACAUUUUCCUUUAAAUAGUAAACAAACUUAUAUAUUAAAAUUACUUUAAUUAAGAGAAAAAUGAAAAUAGAGAUAUUAAUUAAAAUAUAAACUUACGAGUAGCUAAGACAACAAUGAGAAAAAAGUACAUGCUAAAAAGCAUUUUUCUCUUCAUUAUUUGUGACUUUUAUUUUGUCUCCUAAGCAUGUAUAAGUGGUUUUUUUGUUUUUUUUUUACAAAA